rnacentral:lncRNA from 1 species
GGGGGUGGAAUUGGGGUUACUCGAUGUAAGGGAUUCCUUGUUGUUGUGUUGAGAUCCAGUGCAGUUGUGAUUUCUGUGGAUCCCAGCUUGGUUCCAGGAAUUUUGUGUGAUUGGCUUAAAUCCAGUUUUCAAUCUUCGACAGCUGGGCUGGAACGUGAACUCAGUAGCUGAACCUGUCUGACCCGGUCACGUUCUUGGAUCCUCAGAACUCUUUGCUCUUGUCGGGGUGGGGGUGGGAACUCACGUGGGGAGCGGUGGCUGAGAAAAUGUAAGGAUUCUGGAAUACAUAUUCCAUGGGACUUUCCUUCCCUCUCCUGCUUCCUCUUUUCCUGCUCCCUAACCUUUCGCCGAAUGGGGCAGCACCACUGACGUUUCUGGGCGGCCAGUGCGGCUGCCAGGUUCCUGUACUACUGCCUUGUACUUUUCAUUUUGGCUCACCGUGGAUUUUCUCAUAGGAAGUUUGGUCAGAGUGAAUUGAAUAUUGUAAGUCAGCCACUGGGACCCGAGGAUUUCUGGGACCCCGCAGUUGGGAGGAGGAAGUAGUCCAGCCUUCCAGGUGGCGUGAGAGGCAAUGACUCGUUACCUGCCGCCCAUCACCUUGGAGGCCUUCCCUGGCCUUGAGUAGAAAAGUCGGGGAUCGGGGCAAGAGAGGCUGAGUACGGAUGGGAAACUAUUGUGCACAAGUCUUUCCAGAGGAGUUUCUUAAUGAGAUAUUUGUAUUUAUUUCCAGACCAAUAAAUUUGUAACUUUGCAGCGG